rnacentral:rRNA from 1 species
AACGAACGCUGGCGGCGUGCUUAACACAUGCAAGUCGAACGCGAAAGUUUUCUUCGGAAAGCGAGUAGGGUGGCGCACGGGUGAGUAACGCGUAAGUAAUCUACCCCUGUAUUUGGGAUAACCCACCGAAAGGUGUGCUAAUACCGAAUACGUCUGAUUUAAUACCUUUUUUUCAGAGAAAGGUGGCCUCUUCAUGAAAGCUACUGUACAGGGAGGAGCUUGCGUACCAUUAGCUAGUUGGUAGGGUAACGGCCUACCAAGGCGAUGAUGGUUAGCGGGUCUGANAGGAUGAUCCGCCACACUGGAACUGAAACACGGACCAGACUCCUACGGGAGGCAGCAGUGAGGAAUAUUGCGCAAUGGGGGCAACCCUGACGCAGCGACGCCGCGUGGAUGAUGAAGGCCUUCGGGUUGUAAAAUCCUGUCAGAUGGGAAGAAGUGUACUAUGGUUUAAUAUCUGUAGUAUUUGACGGUACCAUCANAAGGAAGCACCGGCUAACUCCGUGCCANNAGCCGCGGUAAUACGGAGGGUGCAAGCGUUGUUCGGAAUUACUGGGCGUAAAGCGCGCGUAGGCGGCCGUAUAAGUCAUUUGUGAAAGUCCCUGGCUCAACCAGGGAAGUGCAUGUGAAACUGUGCGGCUUGAGUACUGGAGGGGGUAGUGGAAUUCCCGGUGUAGAGGUGAAAUUCGUAGAUAUCGGGAGGAAUACCGGUGGCGAAGGCGACUACCUGGCCAGAUACUGACGCUGAGGUGCGAAAGCGUGGGGAGCAAACAGGAUUAGAUACCUGGUAGUCCACGCCGUAAACGAUGUCAACUAGGUGUUGGGAUG